UAAACAGCCUGGCGCCAUAACCCAGUCCCAUCACUGUUACAGACCCACCUCCGCACAACUGCUGCUGUGUUUAAUAGCAGAGAGGAUGAAAGAUACGAUCGUGAUCCUGCUCUUUGCUCUUCUGGUCUCGCUCGAAACAACGUCUACGGCUGCGUCUGGUGAUGAUGAAAAUGAUGAAGUCAUACCAGAUUAUGUGGCCAUGAAAACAAUCUUCAAGGAUAUUUUUGAAACCAUACAACCAGAUACAUCAGAAGGUUCCUCAGGAGAGGACAUCAAACAACAAACAACAAAAUAAAGACAAUGUAUUUUGAGCCAAAGUACGCAUAAAUAAAUAAAGACAAUAAAGAAAUGUUUAUCUC